CGGCGCUGACGCGUCUCCUACGAUCAUCCUGAUCGGAGUAAUACUGAUGAUGACGGUGCCCGUCGAAACUCCCGUCAGCGCUCGAACGGCCGUCGAACGGUGACGACGGGUCGAUGGGACGGUAGGGGCGGGGAAGCGGAAGAUUUGCGAGGAUGAAAGAAAAAGUAGAUGAACGAACGGAGAUUAAGUAAACUGGUCGAGCCGUCGAGACACCGGUAUGCGAAACUUUGUUACGUGACUAAAGCGAGAACAAAGGAAAAAUACGAACCUGCUGACUAGAACCGAAGGAUCGACGCUGGAACCACCGGACCGAGCGGAGUCGGUGCUGAGUCGUUUCUAGGAUCAAUGGAGAGACGCAUCUGCUCGACGUUGCAGCGAUUUCCGCGAAACAACAACGAACAGUCUGUCCAACCGUCCGGUGGUUCCAGCGUCAACGUAACACUUACGAUUAGAAGUAAUACCGAGGACUAGAAACGGACCAACGAUGCGCGCGGUCGAUCGACGCGGGGGCUGCCGAGAUUGCAGCGAAAAUGGAACUGAUUAUCGUCGACUGAAGUGGCGCGCGGGACUUCUCGGAAGAACAGGCGCGUGUUCACCUGAACGACCACGAGAGCCGGCGCGGCCGCGUUUAUCGUCUCUCCCGUCGAGAUAAACGCGGCGCGGUGUCGCGAUAAACCCGAGAUACAACGAGUUUCCCGUGUAAAAACGGGGGAGGAGAUUGUACGCCGUUCGAAAAAUCGAAUACCGAAGGUAGACCGUGGCCGAUCGUUUCCCGUGGAAAAUUCCCCUGCGCGCGUUCGAUCGAUUCGUCCCGCUUCGAUGUGGACACGAUGUGCGGAAGAUUCUCGGAGAGAACGGAGAACGACGCGCUCAUUCGGCCACGCGUGUUUGGCACUAGAUUUUCGUGGAUGCUCGAUCGGCAGCCGUUCGCGUCGGUUGCUGGAGAUCGCGCGGAGAUUCGCGCUAAAACUACCGAGCAGUCGAGUUCACUUUGUUGUAGGGUAAGAGAAAUAACGCUGAGUAAUUAGAAGGAAAAGAAAUAAAUAAGUGAUAUUAACACACUAUCGGCGGGAAGGGUAUUAAUACCUUUUAUGCAGAACGUACGCUAAGUGUUAGUAACACUUACCAAUGCUUGUUCUUUUCAUUAUCACUAAUUUUUGGGCAGUCGUAAUUUUUUAAUGUCGUGUUUGUGCAGUGCAUAAAAAGAAAAGUUGAACUUCUUAUAUGUGUAAGUUUUGUCAGAUUCCCCUUCGUAGGGGUGAGUGUUUUCAGAAAUACCAUACAUUGAAAAAAUAUUAGAGUCAAUAAAAUUACUAUAUAAGAAACUGAAUAAUAAAAUAUUCCUAAACAUUGUUACGCUUUUCUCUUACUACGUGAACUUUUAAUACUUUCGAAAAUUAACAAUUAUUGUUUGGUCCAUGUUAUACAUUAAAUGAAGUAAUAAAAAACUAAAUUAACAAUUGAAUUUUUUUUUAAAUUUCAUCUACAUCUUGGAAAUACUAUGGGAUACCUAUUUUCCAAAUUUCAUUGAAAUCCUACUAUUAGAUGUGAAGAUAUUACAUGUUUUCUAAAAAAUGCACUUUUUUCAUACUUCACUAAUUUUCGCUAUACGUGAGUCAAGCUCAUGUUACCCGCCGAUAGUGUGCUAAGUGAUAAUCCUCUAUCGAACCGAUAGACCGGCACUUUUCAACGAUGAAAAGAGAAAUAAUAAAUAGAGAAGCGCCAUCGCGCCGCUUGGAGCUCGAACGAACAGACACGAAGUUGUCUCUGAAGAGGAAGAACUUGGUGUCUAUGAUUUCGUCGCGAACCGAUCGUGCACUUUGGCCGAAAGAAACGGAGGACGAGGGAAGAAGAAGAAGAAGAAGAAGAAGAAGAAGAAGAAGAAAAAUUGAACCAUCUUUGUACCGUGUCGAGGGAUGCGAUUUUCCGGUUUCCAUGUUGGCUCCUACGUGAACGAAGGAAACGAAUGCUGGAACGAAGGGACCCUCGAAAGAAGUGUCGACUUGUGCGUUAACAAUCUACGUACCAAAAUAGGAAAUCCUCGAAACAGAAAGAGAUCUCUAGCACCUUGUUUGCGAAUUCUGUAGUACUCGAAGGCUACCUAUCACAGACCCAUCAAUUCUGAAAGAGCCGUAGGCGAUUUCAUUGGUCGAACGUUAAAAAAAUACUAGCAUCCUUUUCUUUUCUCAUUCUCAUCCUCAUUCUCAUACUCAUACUCAUUCUCAUUCUCUUUGCUUUGCUUUGCUCUGCUCUGCUCGAACCAGGCCGCCCGGCGGACGGUCCUGUACCGCGGGUACCAUCUAAGAAGAUUCCUUUCGUGUCUCCGUCGUGUCUCCCACGAGAGAUUCGUCGACCUUUCACCGGACAGAGAAGAUAUUCCUGCGGGCAUCACCGAUAUCGUUGGAGACCAGGCUUCACUCGUACGAAAAUACUAUUCUCUCGUCGACGUUUGCCCAACAAUACAGCCUCCCCGGACAUGCGACGAUCAAUCUUUAGAAACGAGUUCGACAGACGAUCCGGUUUCAACGUGCGAGCGUUCAGCUUUGAUUCAGUUCUUUGAUUGUGCGUUCUGUUUCGUCGCGGGACGUCUAGCGAAGUGCUGACCGGAACUCGGGCGAAGCGAACGCCCGAGCCCUAGUUCAGGGUCGUACCAACAAGUAUACUUAUCUAACCUACGCACUACGUAGCGUUUCCUACAACUAGGCGGGCUAAAUGUACGAUCAAAAAUCCUCGUGCUUAGGGUCUAUCGCGUGGUACUUGCACGCCGCCGCCGAACCACAGAGCGAAAGAAACGAACGGAACCGGUGGAAGCUGCGGGGCCGCGAUGCGGUUCGCGGCAACUAAAUCGAAGUUUACAAAGCGAAGCGGUGUUUGUCUGCCCUCGUCAGGGAAACUGGCGGCUUCGAGGUAGCUCGACUCGGUAGCGAUGCUCGUUGCGCGAAAGAGCUGGGAAGACGCUUUCGGCAACGAAGAGUAACGGUGUCGACGAACGGCGAGCCUCGAGCGUUUUAAAAAUCACCACGAGUGACUUUGAUAUUAACGAAUUAUCGAUGGAAAGAGACACGGAUACUCUUUCCAAAGGAAUCAUUGUCAGCUCGACGAUCAUCGGCACCGACAUGCCAGGUGACUCUGCGCGACACUCAGUCCUUCGCUCUAAGCAAACGGGCGCGAAAGAAAAGAGAAGGGAAACGCAUGAGAAGAUUAUGCCGCGCUCUAGAGGUACUAAAAUGGCGGGCGAGGCAGGAAGAGUAUCGCGCGGCGGUCCGAUCGAGCGGGCCGACGACUCGGCGACGAUAGACUCGUCGAAGGAGCGAAAUUCCGAGCUUGCCGCGUCGCAACGGGUCGCCGCGGCUCGGUACAUCGGAGCUAUCCCAUCUUCGAUCGUGCCACAUUUCUCCUUCCGAGCGUCGUCGUGUUCGAUCCAUCGUUUUUCGCGCUCUGGCGUUCUCGUCUUCGUCGCUCAUUUCGGUCUCAUUCUGUUCCCGUCUCGUCUCGCACCGCUUAAUCGGGGACCGGGAAGAGAUAGAGCAGAACAAGGGUGGUUAGGAAUGUGGCGAAAAGCAUCGCGGAGAGAACGCGGUCCUGAAUCGUACGGGAUGAACCUGCGGCCGGCUCUUCGGUAUCGUUCUCUCCUUCGUCGCGGAGAAGGAGAAGAGCGGAGACGAGACGCGCCAGAGCCUCCAGCCCGUACGCGUCCAUGUAACCCACGUCCAUGAUUGCGUCCGCGUCCAAUAACACCUCCUGCAACACCAACAACGAUACUACUCAGUCCCAAUCUCUACUUCGUCGCUGCUCGAUUGUGUCUUUUGUUUUGUUUUGUUUUGGUUUAUGUAAGAUCUCUUUGGUCCCUAUCUCCCUUUCGCCUCUGUGCUACACUUUCGAAUACGUUCCUCGAGAUCAAAGAUUCAUUCGGACGAGCGGUGAACAGAGAUCGUUAAUCGGGACGAACUUGAACUCGAAUGGUUCGACGAAGAGACAAUAUGAUCAAAGACACGUGAACACGCAGAGGAGUGAUCGGGAUGGAGGACUCUCGCGGACCGCGUUCACAGCGUUCGAACAAGCGACCAGCGACAGAAAGCGAACACGAAUCUAGCAUGCAAUUACUUCUUAGUUUCUAGCUUCUCUGUUCCCACGUGUCUCUCUCUCUCUCUCUCUCCUCUCUCCUCUCUCCUCUCUUUUUCUCUGUUUGAACUUCGUCGGGUGUGUAUCGGGGACACUGACGGAUUGCGCAUCAUCGCGACUCAAUCGAACUCGGGGACUGACUAGUAGUUGUUGGAAACAUCAUGGACAAACGUACCCGGUAGCCUCCGGUGCGUUAGCUACGUUGUCGACGGAUCCCUUCUCGUUAACAUCGAUCGCACGUGACGUGUAUGUUCGUUUCGCUCCGCUCGAUCGCUACGAGUUAUACCAUCGGAUUCCUGCGUCCGCGCGCUUCCGGGGAAGCGGCGCGAACGUGUCGUAUCGAGCUCGUGGUUAUCGCAAACAAGUGUGUGCCCGUGACGGAGAGUUAACGGGAAAUCUAAGAGCGUCGGGCAAGCGCGAAGAAUCUCGGGAGGAGGAUCGGGGGACAAGGUGUCGGAAUAGCUGUCGCUUACCUCGUCAACGCCUAUCUUCCGACACGCCUCGAGGAAGUUGUCGACGUUGCGCCUGCAUCUCGCCAUCGUCAGCUUGGGCUACGGAUGGGAAAGUGUUCGUUUGAUUCUGUGCUCGUUUAGAACGAAGCUGGUAAUAUUAACACGUUGAAUGCCGCAUGAUUUCGUGGUACGAAAUACUUGAAAUGGAGAGAAUUUAAUAUUAAAUCAUUUGAUUGAAUUGCAUUGGUAUUG